GAGGCGCUCGGGGCGGUGCCGCCGCGCGUGAGCCGCUGGGCGGGGCUCUGGUACGUGCGCUCUGCUCCCAUUGGCUCCCCACCCGGAAGUGCCGCUGCGGGUGCCUGCGCGCUGGAGACAGCAGCUCCGCUCCGCGACCCCCGGCGAGAUGGAGACGGCGGCGCGGCGGCGGGAACCGCAGCAGCAGCAGCAGCAGCACGGAGAGCAGCCGGGUGCGUCGGCGGAUGACGGUCGGUCGCUGUCAGGAGAGUCCUACUGGUUGGACUUGUGGCUUUUCAUCUUCUUCGAUCUGGCGCUCUUCUUCAUCGUAUACUUCCUGCUCUGACGGCGCCGGGCCCAGAGCCACUACCUAAUCAUAGGAUGCACCUUACCGAAAUAGGCACAGCAGAACCAUUUGUGCAGCAUAAGCAGCUGGGAACACAACUCGUUUGCAUCUGAAUGCAAGAGACAUGUACACAUAGACUGUAUCAUAAUAUAUCUCCGGCUCUGUUGUGUUACUGUUUUUACCUGUGUCCUGUUCGUGUGUUCUAAACUGUGCCUUAAAGGUCACAUAAGACUGUGCUUUUGUAAUUAUUGUUUAAAGGUUUGUUAAGCAGAAACAAAAAUACACAGUUGGAAUAAAAUCGGUUAUAAGGACAGAUUGUAGAGUGACAGAGAAUAAAAUCUCUUAUGUAGACUAAA